AGGGUGUAAACGCUGCAGACUUGGUGUUGGAGGCCCUUUGGGGGCAUUCAGUGCCAGAGAGAAGUUGUUAAGUCUGCUACUUGGGGGAGUACGUCCGCAAGGAUGAAACUUAAAGGAAUUGGCGGGGGGAGCACCGCAACGGGAGGAGCGUGCGGUUUAAUUGGAUUCAACACCGUAAACUCACCAGGGAAGACUGUUACAUGAAGGCCGAGAUGAAGACUCUGCUAGAUUUUCAGAGAGGAUGUGCAUGGCGUCAGUGACU
rnacentral:rRNA from 1 species